rnacentral:lncRNA from 1 species
GCGGGCCGCAGGCGUGAGGGCGGGGCGGGGAGGGGAGGCCGGGCCGGGCCAGGCCGCCGGGGCUGAGGGCGGCCGCCGGCUCCCGUGUCCCGGCCGGGCUCGGCUGAGGGCCCAGGGGUGCGGAGCGGAGGGCUGGGUGCGGGGGCUGGGCCGUAGGAAGGCGCGAAGGACCGAAGUCGGGCUUCUGGGAGCGUCUCACGCUUAUGUGUCCUUUGCAUUGCAAGAUUUGUAAUUAUUUCAAAAGAAGAGAACAAACUUGAAAAACCUAGUAAACCUAUGGAGUUAUAUGACUACCGAGUAAAGAAACACAGGAUUCGUGAUCAAAACCAGCGCUAUUCCAGGGAAGGGAAAAACCUGGAUGACAAAAACGAUGAAAGAAACCAAGGAGCAGCAUCAGCCUCAUCUACACAAUGAACAAGAGAAGGAAAAGGUUGCAAGAUCUCUACAGGGAUGCACUCAGCCAGAAGAGUAAACAGUAGUAAAAAAUUAUCUUCCGGGAUCUCCCCGAGAGAUAGAGAUAGAGCUGCUGAAAGCCAGCCACACGAACUGCUGCAGGGUUUGCAACAGCAUCCACAGCUGUGAAACUGGAAAGGGCCAACAGGUCAGUCUGCGUCACUCGAAACACCUUCCCUGUUCUCCAUCUGCUACAGGAACCCCUAUUGCGCAGGUACAUGCUUGGGUAUAAACCCAGCCUGACAACAACCAGGAAGACCCAAAAUACCUAGAUAUUGGGAACCUUUCCUAGUUACCAUGCGGGUUUAACCUUUUGUCCAGUCUUGGCAUUGUGAAGGAAGCCAGGAAAGCAGUUUUUUCGGUUUUAUAGCGUGCUGCCUUCCACUGUGUAACACACUCCAAAGUCUUUUGGGUUUUUUUGACAAACUGCUAGUGUUAGAAAAAAAAUAUAAUAUUGUUAUUCAUUUAGCAAUAGAAGUCAACAAGCUUUUUCAUUAUUGACUGGGAAAUGAAUAUCAAAACCCACAAAUUUUAUGCUUAAACAUGAAAAGUCCAAAGAUGUUAGGUCUUUAUCAAAACAAAUUUUAAGAGACAAAUUUGUGUUCUGCACAGAAAUAGAUUUAUUGAAAAUCUUAAGGAAAACAAUAUAUUAACUAGUUCUGUCUGGCAUGCUAUUAUCAUGAUGUUUGUGAUAAAAAUCAAUUAAUAGGCAAAUCACUAUUUUAUACAUUAACUUCAAAUUUCAUACUCUGACUUCAAUCUCAGGGCUGAUUUAAGAAGUACCUUCACGUGGAACAUAUGCUGGGGAUUUUUUGUAUGUUUGUUAAGGCUAGUGUAAUUAGGGGGUUAAUUAGAAUCUUAAAUGCUUAGUUCACAUGUUGUGAGAUAUGUCUCACUCUAUAAAAAGAACUUUAUGACAUGGGAAAAAAGGGUUGUGUUUUUUUUUUUUCUUUAUAGCUGACAGUCUUGUGAAUUGGCAGCAUGAGAGUCCAAAUGAGAGACUAUAAACAUUUUUAAAUAAGCCGUUUCCAAUUUUCUUUUAUGAUUUGUAAUAAUUGAACUCUCUUGUGUUCUUGACGCUCAUAUUGCCACAAUGUUCCUCAAGCUAUACUUACUGUGUCAGCUACCUCUACGUUAUGGCUAUAAAGGUUGUGUCGAGCUGCAUACAGUAGAAACAAAAUAAA